CGCCUGUUUAUCAAAAACAUCGCCUCUUGCAAAAUCAAUGAAUAAGAGGUCCCGCCUGCCCUGUGACUAUAAGUUUAACGGCCGCGGUAUUUUGACCGUGCGAAGGUAGCGCAAUCACUUGUCUUUUAAAUGGAGACCUGUAUGAAUGGCAUAACGAGGGCUUAGCUGUCUCCUCUUUCAAGUCAAUGAAAUUGAUCUCCCCGUGCAGAAGCGGGGAUACUUACAUAAGACGAGAAGACCCUAUGGAGCUUUAGACACCAAGACAGACCAUGUUAAACAUCCCAAGACAAAGGACCAAACCAAAUGGCCCCUGCCCUAAUGUCUUUGGUUGGGGCGACCGCGGGGAAACACAAAACCCCCACGUGGAACGAGAACACCUCCUCUCACAACCAAGAGCUCCCGCUCUAGUGAACAGAAAUUCUGACCAACUAGAUCCGGCAAAGCCGAUCAACGGACCGAGUUACCCUAGGGAUAACAGCGCAAUCCCCUUUUAGAGGCCAUAUCGACAAGGGGGUUUACGACCUCGAUGUUGGAUCAGGACAUCCUAAUGGUGCAGCCGCUAUUAAGGGUUCGUUUGUUCAACGAUUAAAGUCCUACGUGAUCUGAGUUCAGACCGG
rnacentral:rRNA from 1 species